UCACUUCAUUAAUGUGAUGAUUUGACGACUUCAUUAAUGUGAUGAAAUGAAGUCAUCAAAUCAUCACAUUAACGAAGUCAUCAAAUCAUCACAUUAACGAAGUCAU
rnacentral:pre_miRNA from 1 species